UUCGCAAUGCCCGAAAGGGUGACGAUGCGACGCCGCGUGAGCGAAGAAGGCCCUAGGGUUGUAAAGCUCUGUCGAGGGUUAUGAAAUAUAGAUGGGUUAAUACCCCAUUUAUUUGACAAAAGCCCAAAAGGAAGCCACGGCUAACUCUGUGCCAGCAGCCGCGGUAAUACAGAGGUGGCGAGCGUUGUUCGGUAUUAUUGGGCGUAAAGAGCACGUAGGUGGUUUUGUAAGUCAGGUGUGAAAGCCUUCUGUUCAACGGAAGAAUUGCAUCUGAAACUACAAACCUUGAGUGUAGGAGGGGAGAAUGGAACUUCUGGUGGAGCGGUGAAAUGCGUAGAUAUCAGAAGGAACGUCGGCGGCGAAAGCGACUCUCUGGCCUAUUACUGACACUGAGUGUGCGAAAGUUAGGGGAGCAAACGGGAUUAGAUACCCCGGUAGUCCUAACCGUAAACGAUGGGCACUAAGUAGAGGGGUUUU
rnacentral:rRNA from 1 species